rnacentral:misc_RNA from 1 species
UCUCGGCUUAUCACCGGCAGUCCCCCUAGAGUGCCCAACUGAAUGAUGGCAACUAAGGGCAAGGGUUGCGCUCGUUGCGGGACUUAACCCAACAUCUCACGACACGAGCCGACGACAGCCAUGCACCACCUGUAUAGGACCCUUACGGACCCCCCAUCUCUGGAGGAUUUCCCUAUAUGUCAAACCCAGGUAAGGUUCUUCGCGUUGCAUCGAAUUAAGCCACAUGCUCCGCCGCUUGUGCGGGCCCCCGUCAAUUCCUUUGAGUUUUAGCCUUGCGGCCGUACUCCCCAGGCGGGGCGCUUAAUGCGUUAGCUUCGGCACUGCAGGGGUCGAUACCCGCAACACCAAGUGCCCAUCGUUCACAGCUAGGACUAC